AUCACUCUACUAUGAAAAGUUAUAAAAUGGUCAUCCAAUUAUUUAAUUUUAUCUUUUGGUCAUCCAAUUGUCUUGAAAUUUUUGGUGUUUUCAUUUUUACUUUAGUCAGCUAAUGAUCAAAAAGACAAAAUUAAAUAAUUAGGUAAUCAUUUUGUAAUUUUUCAUUGUUGGAUAAUCAAAAAAGAAAAAAAGAACAUAGGUGAA
rnacentral:pre_miRNA from 1 species